rnacentral:rRNA from 1 species
GACGAACGCUGGCGGCGUGCCUAAUACAUGCAAGUAGAACGCUGAAGAGAGGAGCUUGCUCUUCUUGGAUGAGUUGCGAACGGGUGAGUAACGCGUAGGUAACCUGCCUUGUAGCGGGGGAUAACUAUUGGAAACGAUAGCUAAUACCGCAUAACAAUGGAUGACUCAUGUCAUUUAUUUGAAAGGGGCAAAUGCUCCACUACAAGAUGCACCUGCGUUGUAUUAGCUAGUAGGUGAGGUAACGGCUCACCUAGGCGACGAUACAUAGCCGACCUGAGAGGGUGAUCGGCCACACUGGGACUGAGACACGGCCCAGACUCCUACGGGAGGCAGCAGUAGGGAAUCUUCGGCAAUGGGGGCAACCCUGACCGAGCAACGCCGCGUGAGUGAAGAAGGUUUUCGGAUCGUAAAGCUCUGUUGUAAGUCAAGAACGAGUGCGAGAGUGGAAAGUUCACACUGUGACGGUAGCUUACCAGAAAGGGACGGCUAACUACGUGCCAGCCGCCGCUGUAA